rnacentral:rRNA from 1 species
CGAGUGAAGCGGCAACAGCUCAAAUUUGAAAUCUGGCGCCUUCGGUGCCCGAGUUGUAAUUUGUAGAGGGUAGCUCGAGCCCGCCCCCGUCUAAGUCCCCUGGAACGGGGCGUCGUAGAGGGUGAGAAUCCCGUAUGCGACGGGGUGGCGUGCUCGUGUGAGCUCCCUUCGACGAGUCGAGUUGUUUGGGAAUGCAGCUCUAAAUGGGAGGUAAAUUCCUUCUAAAGCUAAAUACCGGCCAGAGACCGAUAGCGCACAAGUAGAGUGAUCGAAAGAUGAAAAGCACUUUGGAAAGAGAGUUAAAAAGCACGUGAAAUUGUUGAAAGGGAAGCGCUCACGACCAGACUCGGGCGCGGCUGCUCAGCCGGUCUUCUGACCGGUGCAUCGGUCGCGCCCGGGCCAGCAUCGGUUCGGGCGGUCGGAUAAAGGUCUCGGGAACGUAGCUCCCCUCGGGGAGUGUUAUAGCCCGGGGCGCAAUGCGGCCUGCCCGGACCGAGGAACGCGUUCGCUAGGAUGCUGGCGUAAUGGUCGUUAGCGGCCCGUCUUGAAACACGGACCAAGGAGUCUACCAUCUGUGCGAGUAUUAGGGUGUCAAACCCUUGUGCGUAAUGAAAGUGAACGGAGGUGGGAACCCUCGGGUGCACCAUCGACCGAUCCAGAUGUCCUCGGACGGAUUUGAGUAAGAGCACCGCUGGUGGGACCCGAAAGAUGGUGAACUAUGCGCGGAUAGGGUGAAGCCAGAGGAAACUCUGGUGGAGGCUCGCAGCGGUUCUGACGUGCAAAUCGAUCGUCAAAUCUACGC